CCCCCAUGCACAUCCACACCCACACCCAGGUGGAGUUCAACAGCGUCUGGAUGUGAUGCGUAACUUACACACACAACAAGGACUGCAUCUGUGAGGACACGGCCGCUGCUGGAGGGCUGCGCAGGAGGUGCUGUGGAGACGCCGGGCCCGGGGCUCGAGGCACGAGGUGCCGUGCCCGUGGAGGCAGGAGGUGCCGUGCCCGUGGAGGCAGCGGGGCUCGAGGCACGAGGUGCCGUGCCCGUGGAGGCAGGAGGUGCCGUGCCCGUGGAGGCAGCGGGGCUCGAGGCACGAGGUUCCUCGCGAGGUCCUCCUACCCUGGUGGAACCAGCAUCUUGUUAAUUCUUUUUUCUUAAUAAAGUUAUGAUUUGUUUUUCGAAAUACA